CUCAUUUUUCCCGGGCUUUCGGUCGGCGUUUUCGUUUUCUCGCGGGUUUGGGCGCGCAUCGAACUCUGAAGGGUCGGGAAGGCCUGUCGUUGGAAUGUGGUUGAGUUCCAGGGAGUGUACAGGCUGGAGGAUGGGACAAGACCUAUCUCUGUAUCGAUCAAGCACGGCGUUGGUGUUCCAGCUCAUCACCAAUCCUAAGGAAUUCAAGUGCCUCCCAGGAUGAAUACAGGUUGUCUUGAUGGUGAUACAUUCAUCUGUCUUAAGAUCCCUGCUGAUCUGCUCAUGGUCAAACUCAUGGAAAGAGUUGAGAGUGGGGCACCUUGUUCCUGCAUCCUCAAAGGAGCAUCUUGUUCCAGAGUUAAAAGGUUCCAGAGUUAAAAGGUACCUGUACCAUUUAGCGGCUUGUUCACUCAAAGAUCCAUCUUUUCUGGAGCCUGAGGAUGAUUGGAGGUGAAAGGUGUAAGCCAUACUCUGCUCAACUCCAGUCUGAAACUAAGGUUUAAAGAAAGAACACGUACUUAACACACGGGAAUCCAACUCUUGGAGGACAUCAGAAGUGGAAUUUUCUUAUACAACCUACCUAUUCAAAUUAGCAUAUAAUCUUUCUAGCCUUUCUAAAUAAAUAAAGGGAUUUUUUUGU
rnacentral:lncRNA from 1 species